CUAAGUUUGAUGGCGACCGGCGCACGGGUGAGUAACACGUAUCCAACCUGCCGAUGACUCGGGGAUAGCCUUUCGAAAGAAAGAUUAAUACCCGAUGGCAUAGUUCUUCCGCAUGGUGGAACUAUUAAAGAAUUUCGGUCAUCGAUGGGGAUGCGUUCCAUUAGGUUGUUGGCGGGGUAACGGCCCACCAAGCCUUCGAUGGAUAGGGGUUCUGAGAGGAAGGUCCCCCACAUUGGUACUGAGACACGGACCAAACUCCUACGGGAGGCAGCAUG
rnacentral:rRNA from 1 species